rnacentral:rRNA from 1 species
UACGAAGGGUGCUAGCGUUGUUCGGAAUUACUGGGCGUAAAGAGCUCGUAGGCGGUCAUGCAAGUCAGGGGUGAAAUCCCGGAGCUUAACUCCGGAACUGCCUUUGAAACUGUAUGGCUGGAGUGUGUGAGGGGAUAGCGGAAUUCCUAAUGUAGAGGUGAAAUUCGUAGAUAUUAGGAGGAACACCGGUGGCGAAGGCGGCUAUCUGGCACACAACUGACGCUGAGGAGCGAAAGCGUGGGGAUCAAACAGG